rnacentral:rRNA from 1 species
AUGGCGCUCGGCAAGCUUGCGGUGGCCGCGCUGGUGGCAUCUCUCCUCCUGCUCAGCACCAUCAAGGCUGCCGACUCUCCUGCUCCGGCUGCUGCUCCGCUCGGGCCUCCUCCCCACAACAUCGUAGACCCCUCUAAAGACUGCGGGUGGGCGUGCAACCUGCGGUGCAGCGCCAACUCGCGGCCGAAGCUGUGCAGCCGGGCAUGCCUCAAGUGCUGCAGCGUGUGCCGCUGCGUGCCGGCGGGCACGGCCGGCAACAAGGAGACCUGCGGCAAGUGCUACACCGACUGGACCAUGCACGGCAACAACACCAAGUGCCCCUGA